AUUGAACGCUGGUGGCACGCUUUACACAUGCAAGUCGAACGGUAACAGGGUGCUUGCACCGCUGACGAGUGACGAACGGGUGAGUAAUGCGUCGGAACGUGCCGAGUAGUGGGGGAUAACGCAGCGAAAGUUGUGCUAAUACCGCAUACGUACUGAGGUAGAAAGUGGGGGACCUUCGGGCCUCACGCUAUUCGAGCGGCCGACGUCUGAUUAGCUAGUAGGUGAGGUAAAGGCUCACCUAGGCGGCGAUCAGUAGCGGGUCUGAGAGGAUGAUCCGCCACACUGGGACGGAGAUACGGCCCAGACUCCUACGGGAGGCAGCAGUGGGGAAUUUUGGACAAUGGGCGAAAGCCUGAUCCAGCCAUGCCGCGUGUCUGAAGAAGGCCUUCGGGUUGUAAAGGACUUUUGUCAGGGAGGAAAUCCCUAGUGCUAAUAACACUGGGGGAUGACAGUACCUGAAGAAUAAGCACCGGCUAACUACGUGCCAGCAGCCGCAGUAA
rnacentral:rRNA from 1 species